UGCCCGCAAGAGUGUAAGUCGCUUUGGAUAAAAGCGUCUACUAAAUGGCAUUUA
rfam:Salmo salar isolate Sally breed double haploid chromosome ssa24, whole genome shotgun sequence.